GUUGAUCUGAUGGUUCUAAGGGGUCACAUGGUCAACGCAUUUGGACCUAUGGAUUUGGAUCCAACGAAUCUGGUCCAUUGAUGGUCCACCAUUGACCAUUGACCAGACCUCCCUCUCUUGGGAUCGACGCGUUUGGGCUUAGAGGGCCUUUUGCUACUUGGGUUCCUCUUCUUUCUUUUGCACCGACCUUUCUUUUUGUUUAUUUAUUUUUAUUUUAUCUUUUUUUAUUUAUUUUUUAUUUUAUUUACUUUC
rnacentral:lncRNA from 1 species